rnacentral:rRNA from 1 species
UACGGAGGGUGCGAGCGUUGUCCGGAAUCACUGGGCGUAAAGGGCGCGUAGGCGGCCUGAUAAGUAGGGGGUGAAAUCCUGCGGCUUAACCGCAGGGCUGCCUUCUAAACUGUCGGGCUAGAGCACGGUAGAGGCAGAUGGAAUUCCCGGUGUAGCGGUGGAAUGCGUAGAGAUCAUGAGAAAGACCAGUGGCGAAGGCGGGUCUCUGGACAGUUCCUGACACUGAGGCACGAAGGCCAGGGGAGCAAACGGG